rnacentral:rRNA from 1 species
UACGUAGGGUGCGAGCGUUGUCCGGAAUUAUUGGGCGUAAAGAGCUUGUAGGCGGUUUGUCGCGUCUGCCGUGAAAUUUCGGGGCUCAACCCCGAACUUGCGGUGGGUACGGGCAGACUAGAGUGUGGUAGGGGAGACUGGAAUUCCUGGUGUAGCGGUGAAAUGCGCGGAUAUCAGGAGGAACACCGGUGGCGAAGGCGGAUCUCUGGGCCAUUACUGACGCUGAGGGGCGAAAGCGUGGGGAGCGAACAGG